CAGAGUUUCAGGGACGAACUCG
rnacentral:siRNA from 1 species